GAUGAACGCUAGCGGCAGGCUUAAUACAUGCAAGGCGAAGGGGCAGCAAUGUCACUGUCGUACGGGUGCGUAACGCGUAUGCAACCUACCUAUCACUGGGGGAUAGGCCCCGGGGGAAAACCCGGAUUAAUACCGCAUAAUACAGGGGCACAGCAUUGUGCUAUUUGUUAAAGAUUUAUUGGUGAUAGAUGGGCAUGCGU
rnacentral:rRNA from 1 species